AUACAACUUUCAACAACGGAUCUCUUGGCUCUCGCAUCGAUGAAGAACGCAGCGAAAUGCGAUAAGUAAUGUGAAUUGCAGAAUUCAGUGAAUCAUCGAAUCUUUGAACGCACCUUGCGCCCCUUGGUA
rnacentral:rRNA from 1 species